UACAGAGGGUGCGAGCGUUGUUCGGAAUUAUUGGGCGUAAAGGGCGCGUAGGCGGUACGGUAAGUCACCUGUGAAACCUCUGGGCUUAACUCAGAGCCUGCAGGCGAAACUGCCGUGCUGGAGGGUGGGAGAGGUGCGUGGAAUUCCCGGUGUAGCGGUGAAAUGCGUAGAUAUCAGGAGGAACACCGGUGGCGAAGGCGGUGGGCUGGGCCGGAACUGACGCUGAGGAGCGAAAGCGUGGGGAGCGAACAGG
rnacentral:rRNA from 1 species